CGCGCGAUUGUAAUUAACUAACUGUACGAUGAAUCUAUUUGCGUAUGUAUAGGUAUUGUACCUUGAAACCGUUCGUUGUUUACGAAUGUAAAUUAGGAGUGUACUGGAUAGAAUGUAACGGCAAUGGGUCUUAUUCGCGAAUGAUCAUCCUCUGUGCAAAAUUUGUUGUCCGUGUAUGAAAAAUUUGUCGUAAAAGUUUUCCGGUCCGUGAAUUCGAUUUUUUAAGUAGUUCAAGUCAAGUACUUCUCCUAAAAGUUGAUUAUUAAUUUUUGAAUUAUAAUUAGACAGUAUUUGUUAUUGGAAAAUGCUUUUCCAUCUAAGUCAUCCAAUUUCUGUUAAGCUAUAUAAUCAAUAAUCUUUCAGUUAAUCUGAUAAAACGUCUUACUUUUACAAAUAGAAAUAUCAAGUCAAGAUAAAACCUAAAUAUAAAUAUACAUUUAUUUAUAUCCAUUGGUUAAAGUACACUUUUUAUCGGAUUAUGUCAGUCGGAAAGAGUAGUUUCAAAAUGUUAUUUACGUUAGGAAAGAUAUUACAGCAUUCGAAAUGAAAACAAAAAGAAAGAUAGAGAAAAAAAAAGAAACUGAAAAACGAGAAUCGAAAGGAUUUCAGAUAGUUGCUACCUAAUCUUAAUCGAUCAUUCAAAGAGGAUCGUGGUCGCGGGAUUACAAAUUUGUUUUUUCCAAUUUUUUUUCUUCCUUCCUUCCUUCCUUCAUUCCUCUUUUUCUUUCGUUGGAGAAAUCGUUCAGCACGAAAAGUGUGCAUCGUCUGUGUGCUCCGUGUACGUUUGGGUAACACUUUCAGAGAGAAGGACGAAAGUAGCGGGUUCGAAGGUUAGACGAAAAUGUGGGUCGAUUCUAAAGUUCUAACCUACAUUCAGUUUUCAUAAAUGUUGGGAAUAUCUACUGUACAGUGCAAGGGAGAGUGCUUGCGGCCUCCACAGGGUGAAACGUAAGAAAGAAAAAGAAGAGUGAGAGAGUGAGAGAUAGUUUCAUGUCGACGAUGAUCGUGGAUGGGCGGCAAAAGUAAAGAAUGCAGCUACCAACGUCGAGUACACACUUUGCAUUAAUGUCCUUGGUAAUGUUAGUAAAAUGUAGGACGGACGUUCUAACCCUUAACUGGUUUAAAAGAAGAAAAUGAAAAUAGUAUUCUUAUAAGAGAAGAAAGAAAGAAAGAAAAAAAAGAAGAAGAAGGAAGAGACAGCAAGAGAAUGGAAUGUCUUUCACUGAAAAUGUUUCGUACCCGGCAACGCUAUUUCCGCGAGGAAAACAGAGAUAAGCAGAGUACGUUGUUAAGGUGAAACGCAACCUCCUUGAUUUCGAGGAACCACGUUUAACCGAGGAACACACUCAAAUAGAAUUGUUUCGAGGUUACCCUCUCUUAGUCCUUGCUUUUCUUUCUAGAGAUAAGCCGGAAUAUUUAAGACGCUGUUGGUGAUUACUAUUUUCAUUAAUUUCUACCUUUAAAUAUACACGGUAUUUCGUUAUA